GGCCGCGUGGCGGAAUUGGCAGACGCUGGGGAUUUAAAAUCCCUUGCCCCGCAGGGCGUUCGGGUUCGAGUCCCGACGCGGCCA
rnacentral:tRNA from 1 species